AUCCAUAAAAGCAUGCUGCACCUUUGGCACAGCGCGACUUCCCUGGCCCUCCCCCUGCGGACCAGUGAACCUCGCCCGAGGGCUCAAUAAAGAAGAUUUUUGCCCUCUUUUUCUCACCUCUCAGCCUUAUUGAUCCAUGGUGCCCUUCCAUUGCCUUUCAUUGGUGCCGAAACCCGGGAGGGGACACCUCCUAAGCCCCCCCAGAGGCUCAGGGGGACUCCCCUCCUGGUCGGAUCAGUCCUCUCCCUCAGUCAGGUCAGGCUUCUCCUCCACGGCCAUCUGUCCAUUUCGUCCGGUUACUUGCUGCCAGGUCGCAGUUGCUGCAGCUACUCCAGUCCAAUUCGGCCGACGCUAGGUGAGUACCCCUCCUUUUUCCUUUUGUCCGUUCCUCCCUGGCCGAGAGUCAUGCGCACACCCAGGGAGAGUUUCCUUCUUCAAGGGAAGGCCAGUCCGGGUCACCAGGUGACCCAAGUUUACUUCCCCAGGGGAAGUCCAAAUCGGCACUGACGACUCAGAGACGUCCAUGUCUGAAGUAGCCGAUCCGAGGCUCCAGGAGCCGCGUGGUCUGAGUGACCCCAGAGGGAUGCUUCUGCUGUCCCUCAGACCGCUGCCAUAAGGGGAAGAGGAUGGGGUCCACCCAGUCCAAAAUCACGCAAAACACCCCCUUAGGGUGCCUUCUGCGCAACCUCCCAACUUUACAACUCAAUCAAGAUUUAAAAUGAAAGCGACUAAUUUUCUUCUGCACAGUUGCCUGGCUGCAAUAUACCUUGGACAACCAAUCUCGCUGGCCCCCCAAAGGCACACUCGACUUCAAUAUCCUAAACGACCUUACCAAUUUUUGUCAGAGGCGAGGCAAAUAGUCAAAAAUCAAAUUUGUUCAAAGGUUCUGGGACCUCCGCUCUCGUCGGACCGCUGCCGCCAAGUGUUUUCGCUGGCACAAGUCCCUGUGGCUAGCCUUCCCCUUGAAGUCUGGCCAGCCUCUCUUGCCGUUAAUCCUGUCCGGGGCCCCCAUCUUAGUCUCUCUGCCGCCAUCUCCUUCUGCACUGCCGCCAUCUUACUACCUGCUUCCUCACUGCCGCCAUCUUACUUCCUUUUUUCUCUGCUGCCAUUUUAGUUCUUCUGCCACCAUUCGGCUGCCAUUUUAAUUCCCAUUAGUUCCCAUUUGUUCUUUUAACCCUGCCCAGCUAACUCCUUGGCUUCCAUCUUACCCGCAUUCUUAUUUCCACCUGCCUAUAGUGCCAUACCAGUCCACUGCAUCUACAACUCCUAACACAUUCGCUGCGGGCAGUGAUAUCCACUAAUCCUGGAUGAGGCAGCGGAGGGCCCCCAAACCCCUAUCCAGGACUUAGUAAAGCUGGCGUUCAAAGUUUUUAAUUCCUGAGAGGAGGCGGCUGAGGUACAACGACAGGCAAGCCUGAAACAAAAAGUUCAGCUCCAAACCCAAGCCCUGGCAGCUGCCCUGCAACCGGCAUUCCCUAAGAGCCGCGGCAGGAGAGGUAGAGGUACAAUCUCCCGGGCCCCGUCUGGCGUCUGCUUCAAGUGAGGCAACUCAGGACACUGGGCCAGCCGGUGCCCUAGCCAACAGCAACCGUCCUGCCCGCCUUGCAACUGUUUCAAGUGUGGCAAUCCAGGUCAUUGGGCAAAACAGUGCCCAAACCCCAAGCCGCCAACACACCCGUGCCCUAACUGCCAACAAAUGGAGCACUGGAGGUCAGACUGCCCCAGCCUCGGAGCGGCCGCUGUGGCUCCACAUGGCGACCCCUCCCUGGAUGGCGAAGGUGCCCUCUAGCUCCUCCAACUGGAUGACGACUGAAGAGGCCCAGGCUCGGGAACCCCUCUCACCCUUGCCGAGCCCAGGGUAAUGCUUCAGGUAGCGGGUAAGUCCAUUUCCUUUUUGCUAGACACAAGGGCUACCUACUCUGUUUUGCCAUCUUUUAGCAGGCCCAGCCGCCCCUCCUCAAUCUCUGUUAUAAGGAUUGAUGGCACUCCCUCCACCUACCGCCAGACGCCUUCACUGCCCUGCCGCCUAGACCACUAUAUAACUUUCUUGAACCCAUAAUCUACCAUCCUUCCUUCUAUUCCUUACUAAAGCAAAUACAUCGAGUUAUCUUCUUACUUUAGUAAACACUUUCUCAGGUUAGAUUAAAGCCUGCCCUACCACCCAUAAAACAGCAGAGGUAGUAGCUUCAACCCUCAUUGAACAGAUAAUCCCGAGAUUUGGCCUGCUUUUAUCUCCAAAAUAGUCAAACAGGUGACAACCACACUUGGCGUUAACUGGAAGCUACACACUCCAUACCAUCCGCAGUCUUCUGGAAAAGUGGAAUGCGCCAACGGCCUUGUCAAACAACACCUAAUCAAAUUGGCUCUCGAGAAGCGCCAAUCGUGGAGCUCCCUGUGAAUAACCCACCUCUUGGCACGUACCUGCCCUACCUCACCCUGUUAAGGGAGCUGCUAAGAGAACACACCGACCACAGCCUUCCAAAGCCCGGACCACUCAGCCCAGACAGUCCGGCCAUAAUAACCCCAGGAGAUCAGGUACUAGUAAAAGACCUCCAGGCAAGAGGUCUCUCCCCCCAGUGGAAAGGCCCCUAUACGGUAAUUCUUACAACACCGACGGCAGCUAAACUU
rnacentral:lncRNA from 1 species